GCUUAACCCACUGAGCCACCCAGGUGCCCUCAGUGUAUAAUAUUUUCUAUGACUGGUAAAAAGUAGUCCCUCGUAUUGCAUGUAUCCCACCCCUUUAAAUACAAAUACCUGAUGUGUGGGAAGAAGGGGGCAGAUCGUGGUUACAGUACAAGGGGUUUAUAACUUUGGGUCCUGCUCACUGAUUAUUGGUGGAAGAGAGUUAAGAACCACGUGGUAGUCAGAGUUUACAGAGUCUUCUCCGUGAUUUCAUUUCAUUUCUUUUCUUUUCUUUUUCCUUUCCUUUCCUGUCCUUUCUUUCCCUUCUUAAGAUUUUAUUUUUAAGUAAUCUCCACACCCAAAGUGGGACUUGAACUCACAACCCUGAGAUCAAGAACCAACUGCGCUAGCCAGGCGAUCCUCAAUGAUUUCUUUUUUUUGAAUGCAGGCAAAUCCUAACAGAUAGGUUAUAUCUCAAAAGUUCAGUUAAUUGGUUGUAGGCCAACCCACAAAAGCCACAUUAAUUGUCAUGGAUCUGGUAUAUUAUAGUAUUAAGAAUGUUAUAGAAUUUAAAUAGCCAUAUUACAAAGUCUGAGGGAAAACACAUUAACACAUCUUCCUACAUCUUCCUAUCCCUUACAAAAGAGAUCAGAGAUUUCUUUCAUUCAACACCUUUUUUAUGAUUUGUUUUUUUCAGCCUCCACGCUUUGCCUGGAAAUAAAUGGUGAAAAGAGAAACUUGGCUCCGGAGGGACAGAGGAAUUCGUUGGCUUAUAGGACCGCAAAGUUGAAAUGGAGAGCUUACGUUGAUGUCAACAAAGCAAGAUUUGUGCUCCGGGCCAUCGGAGUAGAAUCAGUUUCCAGAGAGCCAAGUUCUUUGACUUCCCCUAGAAGGAAAGGGUAUGGAAUUGAGCAUAUGGGAAGGCUCUCUAAACCCUUUUACAUUAUUGGAUAUAGCUACGCUCACAUAAUGAAAUUGUUGAGAUUGUUUAAACCUUCUGCAGGGACUUCUGUUAGCAGAGAAGAAACUUGUACUAAAGCCAUAAGAAGAUUGUGUUAUAGAUAUAAUGGAAUCUUUUUUAUCUUUUGCCUGGUUUUCUGUGUAGGGCUGACAUUUUUUUUCUGGGCACGAGGCCAAGGGUCUAUUUAAUUUCUCAAAAUUUCCCAUGGUCACUAAUACUGUCUCCCUGACGGCAGUUUCAUAAAUUUAUAAAUAAAGUCAGAGCCAUCAGAAAGGUUGUGAAUCCUUGCAAUUAACAUCAAAUAACAUUUGGAAAUUGCUUUUGUUUUUAUUUUUUGUUUUUGUUUUGUCUUGUUUUGUUUUACCAUGGCUAUUUUGCUCAGUAAGCAUAGUGACACCUAUGGAAAGCAUGCUCUUGAUUCUUUGGUACAUUUUUUACUGAUCUUACCUAAAUUCCAAUAAAAUAUUGAACUUUGUCUUUGCCUUGAAAUCACAUCUAUGAUUAAAUAAGGCUUGAAUAUAAA
rnacentral:lncRNA from 1 species